UUCUUGUGAGUUUAAAAUAGUUUAAAAUAGUUACAAAUUUAACUCAAGUUUAGUAAAGAUUAAUUUUAAAAAGUAAUAUGGGUGGGUUGAACUCUGAUGGUGGACUAAUUAUAUCAUUACUCAAUCAGGGGUAAUGAUAUAAUAAUCAGAAGUCAGGAAGGAGAAAUAAAAUAAUUUUUUUUGCUGAUUUCUUACUGAUAAGAGUUUUAAACUUAUUUUAGCCGCAUCACUUGAUGUGCUCAAGAUUAAAUUUUUUAAUUCUAAUUAAACUUAACUUGUGUAUUAAAAUAUGUUUUUUAACAUUUUAUAAAAAACUUUUUCGGUUUAAAAUGUUGUCGAGUAAGGCUUGUUUAAAAGAAGUGUGAUCGAACGUGACAAUUACAUCUUUUUUAUUUUAUGUCAUUUCUUUAAGGCAAAACAUUUAUCGGACAUUGGUGGUGAAGACCUUCGAAAUUUUUUUAUGAGAGCGAUGCCUGUUCUACUUGAUGGCCUUCUUGCUCGCCAAUUCAAUUUGACAGGGCAAAAAGGAAAGAAAUCGUUUAAAGCACUAUUGCUUUGCCAAGUUUUUUUUAGUGCUGUGAAACUGAACCCAAACACAAAACAAUGCACUAUUAAAGAUAUUGAAAUUGAAUUGUCGAAAUGGUUUUCUAAUGCUAGAGAUCGUGGCACUGAUGGUCGUCGAUUUGCAAUCACGAAAAUUACAAAGACGGCUCUCAGUUGAGAUUGAUGGUCAAAAAAAGCAUCUACCGAUCUCUUUCAAUAUGAUUUGUAUUUUGUUUAAUCUUUUUUUUAUAAAUGAAGAAAAAAUUUAUCAAAA